rnacentral:lncRNA from 1 species
UUAGAAUUUAGCCUUUUGAGCAAAUCCACCCUCAAGAAAAUUUUGCCCUAUACAGGCUCUUAAUGCCUAGUUACCCAGGGCAGGUACAUUAUUCACUGCAGAGGAAAAAUCUGACAUUCUGGUUUAUAAAUUGAAUCAAUAAAGUGAAUCAAUUCUCAGCUUUUGAUGAACUUCUGGUUUCACAACUGUGACCCUCUAACAAUGAGGUAGACUGUGUUACCAUCUGCUGCCCCUCACUACCAGACCUGUCCCUACUGGUUCUGCCACUUUGCAAAAAUGAUACUUCCCACCCCAGUGUCAACCAUAUUAAAGAAAUGUGAAUGGAAGUAACAUGGAAGCUUAUUUCCAAGGGUAGGUUUUAAAAACCACUAUGUAGAUAGACCUGUCUCUCCUCCUUCCAUGUAUGCCAUGUCAGUGCCACGGAAGGAGCAGCUAAGCACGGGGUCUCAAAGGCGAGGGCCAAAAACAGCCAUAGAGACUUAUAAUAUGAGCAGCAAAUCAACCCGCCUUCUAAGCAGUUACUGACCCAUGAUGUUCCCUAACAUACGCACUCACCUUUCUUAGGAAUAUAUGAAAUGAUUACAGAGCCCAACAGUAACAAGACUGCCACUUACUGUAUGCCUUUCAUAUGCCAGGCACAGUGCUAGCUCUUUAUACAUCAGUAUCAGUUCAGUCACUCAGUCGUGUCUGACUCUUUGCAACCCCAUGAACU